rnacentral:tRNA from 1 species
UCCCUGGCGGUCUAGUGGUUAGGACUUCGCGCUUUCAUUGCCACUGCUCUGGGUUCAAUCCCUGGCUGAGGAA